rnacentral:lncRNA from 1 species
UUUUAAUAUUACGUUUCAAUAUUUUAAUUUGAUUUGAGUCUACUUAACUUUAAAAUUUGAAUGCGUCGUUUAUUUUUAUAUUUUUAGUUAGUAUACUUCAUGCAAUUCUCGCGAGUAUAAAUUUAUUAAAAUAAGUAAUUAGCUUAAAUUUUAAAAGUCAAAGUAUUAGUGACUAACUUAAAUCAAAUAAAUUGAAAAGUUCGACAGUAAAUUCAAAAUUUUAGAAAACUAUAUAGCAAAUUUAGAAUGAUCUAUAGUUCAUAUAAGUUUUAUCCACAUUAAAAUAUUAUUCUAUGAUAACUUUUUAAGCAAAUCAGUUAUUUAAUAUUAUUUAACAAUGUAAAUCACGUUCCAAUAAAGAACAUAAUUUUUAUCACAAAACAAACAUCGCUGUAUCCAAACUCUACUGCUAUUCUAUUCAAGCAGCUACUCUAGCUUCUACAUGUUUUCCAAACACACUACACAUUACUAAACCUAAUUAAACCAAAUUAUACCCAUUUUUUUAUCCACAUAUGAGCAAAAUAAUUCAUAAACUGGGCCACUCAUGUGAGACACCUAUGCAUAUACACCAAAUACUACACAGCAAAAAAAUCAAUAAUAGUAAUAUUUGGUAAUUAGUUUUUAAUCUCAUAUGAAUUUAACAGAGUUUGCAAAUAAGGGUAGAUUUGAAAGAAUCUAUAUAUUUAAAGAGAUAUUUAUGAUAUUACUGAUUUUGUGAGGGUAUUUACGAUAUUAUUAACCUUUUGAAGGGCACCAGUGAAAUUAACCCUAUUAUUACUACUACUAGGUGGCAUUAAAGUUGGUCAAAUUGGCCAACACCUACCUUUGUCACACCUCACUUAUUAUUAUUUUUUUUAUUUUCUAAUUUUUGAUGCCCUACCUCUGGGGGUGAAAACAGUAGAAUACCAUUGACUAUUUUUACAAAAUUAUAUCCGCAUUCAUAUUUUUAAUUCAGAUAUAAAUUCAAAUGUGAAUUACGAGACGCUACAUUUUUCUUACUAUAUUUGCUAAAAAAUGAAUUUGAAUUCAGAUAUGAGUCUGAUUUGUAUUUCAAUAUUAUUCGGACCGUAAUAUAUACUAAUAUGCAUAUAUAUAUAUAUAUAUAAGAUAUAUAGUGCAAUUAAAAAUUCACACUCGUAUUCAAACUUUGUAUACUUAUAUUUUAUUCAAUAAAAUUUAAUAUUUUAAUGAAUAUAAAUUAUAGUUUUAGUCUAUAAUUUAUAGUAAAAUAAAUAAAAAAUAUGAUAAAAAAUUAUUUUAUCCUCCUACCAUAUAUAUUAACAUUCUUCUUAGGAAAAACUUCAAAAACCCUCCCUGUGGUUUCGUAGUUUCUCACUUCGCCCCCUUGUGGUUUAAAAUGUAUCAAUUUGCUCUCCUGUGGUUUCUUUUUUCUCUUUUUCUUAUCAAUUUCAUUAUUUUUUUUUCCUUAAAUCAAUGAUAAAGUUAAAAUUAAAGAGUACUAAAAUGAAUAUUUGAUAAAUCUAAAUAGGUAUCUGAAGUUUUUUGUAUAUAAUUUAAUGAAAUAUUAACGAAAAAGCUACCGAAAAGAUAAAAACGAAACCACAGGGGGGCAAAGUAAGAAACUACGAAACCACAGGGAGGGUUUUCGAAGUUUUCUCUUCUUGUUAUCUUUUAGAGGUAAAAAAAAGUUGGAAUACGAUCAAAUAUUCGAAGAAACUAUAUUUGUAUUCGUAUUUUUUUCAGAUAUGAAUAUGUGUCGAAUAUUAAAUUUUGAUAUCCGUAUUUAUUUUUUAUCAAAUCCGAUGUCAGAUUUGAUCUGAGAUUAUCCUAACCACUUUCACCUCUGCCUACCUCACUACUUCUCAGAUGACAAAUCCACCUAUCAGGAUAAUAAAUUGCUGCCAACCGGACACGUUAGCCUUUUGGGCACUCUUUAGAGUGGAUAAAAUGAUAUUUAAGUAAAAAUGGAUAAAAUAAUAUUUAAGUAAGACUUUUAAAAAAAUAUAAAAAAAAAUUUUCAAUUAAUUUAGUACUCCGUGAUUUUAUUUUUCUCUUUUUAUUAUCCCCUUCAUUAAUUUUUUUGUUAAAUCAGUGACAAAGCCAAAACUAAAAGAUACUAAAGUAAAUAUUCGAUAAACCUAGACGACGUAUCUGAAGUUUUUUGUACUUAAUUUAACAAAGUGUCAACGGAAGUGCUGACGAAAACAGAAAAAUAAAACAACAUGGUACUAAAUUGAUAUACUUUAAAUCAUAAAGUACUAAACUAAGAAAGUGUGAAACUAUAGAAAUAGUAUUUGAAAUUUAUCCAAAAAAUAUUUUAUACUGUUUUCUUUUAGAAGAAGAAGAUUAAAUUGAAGGUUUUUGGCCUUAGACCUAGUGUUAAUAUAUUUUGUGAUUUUUCAAAAGAAUGUGAUCGAAAUUGCAAGAGAAUGACAUUUUGGUGAAAUUCAAACUCAAAAUAUUUUACUCGGAUAUCAUGUGAUAUUACAUUACACGACUAUUAAUCCCUCUAAAUUAAGCUAAUAAAGUUACUUAAUUACGGUGUUCUAAUAUUUUCUAUUCAAUAUAUCUUGCCUAAAUGUUCCAAAUUAUUUUCAAUAUUUUGAAAUAUCUAAAGAGUUCAAAAAAGUUCUCAAUCUUUUCUAUUUGGAUGCUUUAAAAUAAUUGUUAAAAUCGUCAAUGGAGAAGUAUGCGAAUAUUCAUUUGGUCGAAAUCCUUACCAUUGUUUUAUAAAAUUAUUUUUUAUUCCGCUAAUUUUUAGAUAGCGGUCAAUAAAUUUAUUAUUUUAGAUAAAGUCUAACAACUUUAUAAAAAAAAAAGUUAAAUAACAAAACAAAUCUAAACUUUAAAUUCUUUCAAAUUGUUUUUAGUUGUUUAUUUAUAUAUAUAUAUAUUUUAUUAUUAUUAUUAUUAUUUUUGAGAGAAAGGUAGCACGCUACCUGCUUCAUUCAUUAAGUAAGUGAAUUUAGUUACAUAAAGUGAGGCAGCCAAUGCCUCGAGGAGGAAAUAAAAAAAUCAACAUAGAAAGAAAAAAAGCAGAAGAAACAGAAAAAGAGUAACAUAACAACGAAAACACGAAAAGACGAAAACACGAUAAUAAGCGUCAAAGGUAGGGUGUAACAAACGUCGUCGUCGCCCAACUCUACGGAAAUCGGCCCACUCCUUCAUUAGUACUUCGACACGAUGGGCAAUAGAUAUAGUAUUCAUCGGUAGCAUCCGAAAAAUCACAUUGUUUCUUUCACACCAGAUCAACCACCACGUGGGUAUUCAUUGGUAACAUAUCAAUAAUAUGUAUUUUAUUAUUGAUAUGUUAAAAUGAUGUGAAUGUAUGCUCUGCCAUAUUUAACUAAUAUUUUAUUCGAGCUUUUUGGCGUGUUUGGUUCGCUUCUUUUUCACCCUGGAAUCGGAAUCGGAAUGGGUAAAUCCGUUUGUGGGUGUUUGGUACGCGGGAGUCUCAUUCCGAUUCCGAUUCCCGAGUGGAAUGGGAAUCCCCCAAUAACCUUUUUUUUCAAUCCGGCCUAAGAGGCCGGAUUGAAAGUUGAAUCCGGACGGAAUGGAUAUUUAUUCGGAUUAAAUUUAUUUUUUAAAAUUUUUAAUUAAAAUAUUAGUUAAAAUUUAAAAAUUAAAUAUAUAAUUUUAAAUUUUAAUUUGAACUUAAAUUAAAAAUUAAAAUUUAAUUAAGUAUUUCGAAUCUAACUUAUGAAUUUGAAUUUAAAUUAAAUUUUAAUUUAUAUAAAGUUUUAUUCAAAUUUUAUUUCAAACUUAAAUUAAAUUUAUGAAUUCAAAUUAAAAUUUAAGUUUGAAUUUAAAUAAAUCAAAAUUUAGUUUCAUAUUUUGAAGUUUCCACUCAACUUCAAAGUUUAAUUUUUUUUAAAAAAAUAGAUUUAAAAUUUAGACAUUAUUUCAAAAUUUUGAUGUAAAAUUUCAAUAUUUAAUUUGAAUUUAAAUUAAUAUAUUAUAAGAUAAUGUUAGUAUAUUAAUUUGAUUACGUUUUUUAUAUCUACCUGAACCAAACACCGACAAUGGGAAUGAUUUAUUCCGAUUCUGAUUCUGGGGAUGAACCAAACGGAAUUAAGUAAUGGAUCAUUCCGAUUCUGAUUCCACCUUAUUUUGAUUCCGAUUCCGAUUCCGAUUCCGACUCUGACUUCGAACCAAACACGCCCUUUAUGUAGAACUAGUGUAGGAACCCGCGCGAUGCGGCGAAUAAAAAAUUUUUAGUAACAAUUUAUAGAAUAAAUAAACAAAUAUAGAACAUAAAAAAGAAAAAGAAGAAUAUAAGUAUAUUUGAUUGAAAACAUUACAUAUUUUCUCAUAAUGGUAGACCAAAAGCCACUGAAAAAAGAAAGUAAAUGUGAAUAAAUGAAACGGAAAAUAAAGAGUCAUUUAAAAAAAUAAAAUAAAUAUUUUUUUUAGAGAAGAGAAAAAAUGACUUAGGGCCCACCUCCCUCAAAUUAAAAAGGUACAUCCACAUAGGAUUUAGACAUGAAAAUUCAUAUAUAAAUAUAGAUAAUAUAUUUAUUACCUUAUAGAAAUUGUGAAGUUUUUGAAAAAAAAAAAAAAAAACUUCAAAUACCGUCCCUAUGGCUUCAUGCUUUCUUACUUUAGUAUCAUGUGGUUUAAAAUAUAUCAAUUUAGUACCAUAUGGUUUUAUUUUUAUCUUUUUAUUAUUGAUUUCAUAAUUUUUUUCGUUAACUCAGUAACAAAGUUAAAACUAAAGGGAACCAAAGUGUAUAUUCAAUAAACUUAGGUGAGGUAUUUGAAAUUUUUUGUAUAUAAUUUAACGAAAUAUUAAAGAAAAAGCUGACAAAAAGAUAAAAAUGAAACUAUAAAACACUAACUUGAUACGUUUUAAACCAUAGGAUACUAAAGUGAUAAAGUGCGAAACCGCAGGGUAGCAUUUGAAGUUUACGCAAAAAAAAAUAAAUAAAAUAAUUAUGCUAUAUUAUAUAGUAUAGCAUAAUUAAAUAAACCAAGAUAAAAAAUGAUGAUAAAAAUAAUACCAAAAAGUGAAAAUAAUAAGAUGCAAAAGUAUGAAAAUGGGCAAAUGAGUCACCAUCGUUAUGGUGGGUCCCCCAAAAUCCACAAACGGCCGCGAUGAUGUACAGUAAAUCUCACCAACGGCCGACGAAGUCCCACGUGGACCACUCUUAUCGACAGACAAACGGCUACCGUUGGUCCACGUGGCACUCUCGAUGCGAUAUGAGGACCAAGAUCCAACGGACCCGGCCAUUCCCCUCCACCCCCUCCCCCACCCCUCUUCUCUCUCUCUCUCUCCUCUCUCUUCUCUCUCUCUCUCUCUCUUCUCUCUCCUCCGUAGAUGCAGAGAAGGGAAUUAAAUCUCCAAUUUUCACAAUUUCUAAAGCUUUUCAGGAACGCGUUUUAUUGGCUUCUUCCACUACUUUUCCAGUUCAAAGAAGCCCUUUUUUUCCUUUUUUUUUUAAAAUCCAUGUUGUGACUUUUCCCAGCAAAUCAAAAUUUCCCAAAGUAGCUCCUCUAUUUAGUAAGAUUCGAUUUUUUCCUUUUUUUUNAGUACAGCGGCGGCGGGGGCGGCGGCGGGGGGUCGGCGUCGUCGGCGCGGGAGCAGGACCGGUUCCUGCCGAUCGCGAACGUGAGCCGGAUCAUGAAGAAGGCGCUGCCCGCGAACGCGAAGAUAUCGAAGGACGCGAAGGAGACGGUGCAGGAGUGCGUGUCGGAGUUCAUCAGCUUCGUGACCGGGGAGGCCUCCGACAAGUGCCAGCGCGAGAAGCGCAAGACCAUCAAUGGCGACGACCUCCUCUGGGCCAUGUCCACCCUCGGCUUCGAGGACUACGUCGAGCCCCUGAAGGUUUACCUCCACAAGUUUCGCGAGAUCGAGGGCGAGAGGCAAGGCACCGCCUCCGCAUCCGCCUCUGCCUCCGCCGCUCAGUCGCAUCAACUGUCGCCUAACGAAGCCAAUGUCGGUGGCGGUUACGGCGGCGGGGGGAUGUUCGCGGGCAGUGGAAUGAUGAUGAUGGGUCAACAACAUUUGUAUGGGUCUAACCCUGGAGCUCUGUAUCAUCAGCAUCAUGAUCAUCAGUUUAAUCAUUUGAUGGGUAUGAGUAUGGAUCAUGGAAAAAGUACACCGAGGGGAAGCGGUGGCGGCGGCGGCGGUGGCGGCGGAUUCGGCGGCGGAAGUUCGGGUUCUUCAGGGAGCAAUAUUGGAAGGCAAGGUGGGGUAUGAUGAUUAAUUUUAGUUAUUAAUUGUAGUUUUUAUUAUUAUUAUUAUUAUCAUAAGAUGAUGAUGCAUGCUCUUGUUUUGCAUAUAUAUAUAUAUAUAUAUAACUUCUUGUAGAUUCCUGUUAGAGGUUGGGUGGUUAAUUUUCCUUGAUGAGAUGUUAUAUAUUAGCUUGUUAAAGAGCCCAAAAAAAAAAAGUUAAUUAUGUAAAUUGAAGUUGCCCUUCUAUUCUCUUUCUUUUGUGUUUUGGUCUAAAAAGCUUUUCUUUUGGUUUUGAUUUUUUUAUUUAAGUACUAUAUGGCUAAAUUGCUUUAGUAAUUUUAAUUAGUUUUCAAUGCUCAAUUAAUGGAAUUAAAUGUACUAAUUUAAACCUAAUGAGCUUAAUCAAAGCAAUAAUAUCAUGUGAUGUAGCAUUUUGUACUAUUGUUGAUUUUGUAAUACUAGUUUUUUUCUUUUUUAAACCGGUUUAGUUAUUAGAAAAGUCUGAUUUUGACAUUAAUAUAUAUUCAUCAAAUUUGGUCAUCUCUUUCAGACUGAAUUCGACUAAAUUCAAUAAAUUGGAUCAGUCUCGCGUAAGAAUGUUAUAUCAACAUCAUUUUUUUGUUUCAACGAGAUGUUUCAUAAUGUAAAAUAUCAUGUUUUCAUUUUUUUCAUUAAAUUGUAAAACCUUACUAUUUUUGGGUUGAAAGAUCUUGUAUUAUAUGAUGAUGAUAAUGGAUAAAAAAGGAGAUAAAACUUAUAAUAGAGAAGUGAUGAACAUGAACAUGGUCCUUUUCUUUUUCCUCUCCUUCUCAUGUGUUUAACAUGAAAAUUGCUUCCCUUUUUCUUUUUCUUUCUAAAUUGCAUGAAAUACACAUCAUUUUCUCCUCUUUGGGGAUGUGUACAUAGGUUGUUAGAUUUCAUUCUCAAAGACCAAGUCUUUGAGGAGAGGCUUGGAGUGACAUGGACUUGGAUAAUUGGCUAGGUCCUUGUGAGUGUUAAAAUGCCCUAAAAAGGGUGUUUCCAAGAUCCUCUAAGAAAGGGCUCUCAUUGGCUAAAAAGGAAAUUUUCUUCUUCAUAUGUGGCCAAGGCUAUGCUCUUUUUUAUUUUUUAUUUUUCCCUCUCUAUUGUAGUACAUAUGUUGUCCUUUUUAUUUUGGAUAAUAAUAGAGCAAAUAUAUUGUCCUUUUGUUCACGGAUUUUGUAGAGUUACUAUACUAUCAGAAGUAUAGAGAAUUUAAUACUUUUGACUUUUUAAUUUUUGGAUCAAGAAUUAUACAGUUGGAUGAUUGCGGUCCUCUCUAGGAUUGAAUAGUAUCCUUAAGGUUAAGUAAUCUCCACAGAAUAAUAAUAUUGAUCUAAAAAUUUGAAAUAAUCUAAAAAAUUGACCUAAGAGUCAAAAAAUCGGAAGCACCAGAUCAAAAGGUUAGAUUUUUUUCCUCUGUAUUGUAGUAGAUUUGUUGUCCUUUUUAUUUUGGAUAAUAACAGAGCAAAUAUAUUGUCCUUUUGUUGGAGGAUUUAGAGGACAAAUGCAUGUUCCAAAUCCAUACCUAAUGUGACAAAAUGUCUAGGAGCCCUUUUUUUUUUUCAACAUGCAUUAGGUGUGGGUUAAAUCCAAAUGAAAUAUGUAGAGUUUUUUUUUCUCCUGCAGUAGCACCAUAAACUUGAAUCUAAUUUUGUGAUAUUAUCAUAUGAAUAACUACAGUUGAAAGACCAAAUUAGAAGCAAAUAAGAAACUGUGAAUUCGUCCGUAAGCAGAUAAAAAUUAAAAAUAUUGUACCAACCAAAAGAUUCAUCACCAUCUUUCCAUUCCUCAGAUUUGAGAUAUUUGAAAUGAAGUUACGAGAAUAAACUUUUAACGCAUAGAAAUUUGGCAUGUUUGACUUUGCUCGCUAAAACUUUGAAAUUAAACUAGUGAUCUAAAGCUGCUGCUCGAAGAAAAAGACUGACAUCUUUUUCGUCAAAACUUCGAAAAUAGUUUUCAUACUACAGCAGAAGCAAAUGCCCUGAAUUAAAUUCGCUUCGCUUUUGCGACUUUGAAGCUUGUUUGUGCUCUAGUGGUAACAAAAGCUCCCUAAGUGGUUUCAAAAUAGACAAGUAGAUGCGAAGUAGUGUUCAAUUAACAUAAUUAAGCACGCCAAAACCUAAUCAAUUAGAGUAGGAUAAGCUAUUUAAGAACCAUAACAAAAAGUCAUAUAAGAAACUACUAGAAUAGGCUAUUUAUUAUAGCUUCAUCAUGGAGCUCAACUAGCCCUUUUCACCCACUUUACCUUUGUGAAUAUUUUUAUUAUUUAAACAAAUAGAACAACUCUUUGAGAAAGUUUAGUAUUAAAUAUCAGGGGUAAUUUCAUAUAGGUUACUGCAAAGAUAUUGAAUAGUAAAUAUAUCUCUAUAUAGUUUAACUUUUAUAUAUUGUUCUUACAAAAAUUUUGAUGUUUUUAAAUAUAUCCCCACAUGUCGUUAGAAUCUAUUAAAAAAAAUUAGUUAACCAUAGGUUAAAUACUUAACCAUAGUUAGUUUUUGACAUUUUUAUUUUUUUAUAUUAUACUAGUAUGACUUUUGGAGGAACAUAUUUGUGAUGACAAAAUUAAAAAUAUAAACGAUUCUCUAACGGUAACAAACCAAAAAUACAUAUUUGAAAAUAUUAAAACUUUUUUAAGAACAAUAUAUGAAAGUUAAACUUUGUAGGAAUAUAUUUGCUAUUCACUAUGUUUAUAAGAACAUGUAUAAAAUUAACCCUAGAUGGGAGAUUAUUGUCAUAAUCGACAUAAGUGGAUAUUUUUGUAGUUAAUAAUUGUGCCUUGCUUGCUCCUGUCAAAUAUUUUUUUAUUUCAUCAUCAUGGCGAACAGCUGCUAAUUGUGCAGCACGCGCUAAAUCCCGACAUGACUUUUUGCUCCGACAUCAUGUAAAAUAUAUCGAAUAAUUUUGAAAAUCCGUAGGCUGAAAUUAAUUUGGAGAAAUUAGUAAUAGUGUUUUUUUUUUCUUUUGUUGAAAUAUAUAUUUAUUAAAUCAAAUUAUUAUUUCCUGGCUAAAUUUGUUUAAAUUUGAUCAGUCUGAUAUGUUUCUAGUAAAUAUAUGGACAUGAUGAUUCUACUUUCUCUGAGUUUUAAUCGACAGUAAAGCUAUAGGUAUACGUGGUCUUAGUUGGGCCAAAUCUUAACUUAACAUAAUUAAGCUACGCCGAUAUAAAUUUCAAAAUUAAUGAAAAAAAUAAACAAAAUUGAUAACACACUAUUAUUUUCUCAAAAAAAAUUAAUGAUGAAAAAAUUAAAUAGACGUUGCGCAAUCUCAAAAGAUACUUUAUUUAGUGCCCGCAAUUUAAAUACACACGCGUGCAUUAAAAAAAAAAUGGUUCGAGUUCCCCCAACUUCUUGGAAAAAUAANAUCUCAAAAGAUACUUUAUUUAGUGCCCGCAAUUUAAAUACACACGCGUGCAUUAAAAAAAAAAUGGUUCGAGUUCCCCCAACUUCUUGAAUAUAUUUAUAUAUACUAUUCAAAGUGAAAAAAAAAUAAAAAUGGAAUCAAACUUUUCUAUUAUCUAAUCAAUCUCUCCAUGCCAUUUACCUAUAUAUAUAUACAGUGAUUCUCUGAGGAUUUGUUUGAUUCCAUUUUUAUUUUUUUUUCACUUUGAAUAGUAUAUAUAAAUAUAUUUAGUACAGUAUUUGAUAAAAAAAAUUUAAAAUUUGUCGCACGUCAGUAUGUCACCAAGUAAAAUAGAAGAAUCAGGGCAUAGAAAUAAAGUAUCAAAUGUAGUAUUUCCAAUUUUGCUAAAAAGAAACUUUUGAAGAAGUUUGCAUACAAUAUAUAAUUUUGUCUAAAAAAUACAAUUGUCUCUAAAAAGAAAAGCUUUAUUGUAUAGUACUGUACUCGAUCUACGGCUGAGCCAAAUUAAAUUUAGAGAGACUUGAGUACGUAUAUUCAAAAUUUUAUUCGAAUUCAAUAAUAAAUGGAUAUGAUCUCGGAUAUCGAUAUGAAAAAUAAAAAAUCGAUGGAUUUGAAUUCAGAUAAGGAUUUUAUCAGUACCUUAUCCGAAUCCGAAUCCGAAUCCGAAUUGAUUUUGCAUUAUACAAUAUAAAUCUAUAAACAUUUGAUGUUAUGUUUGAAAAUUUAGAUUUUAGUGUAAUACGUUUUGAAAUGUGGUAAAGAGAAAUAAUCAUUAUUUCACGUUCGAGUUUCGGGUGAUUUGGUUAGGUUCGGUGGUAGAUAUAGAGUUUUUCAAAAUUCGUCGGGUUCAGAUUCUGCUUCGGAUUCGAGUUUUGGAUUUGAUUGUAGGAUUGAUUGAUUUUUGAAAAUUCGCCCCGAAUUCGAGCCGUUUGACGCUUCUAGAUGGGUCCCAAGCCAAUCUAAAAUUUGCAACCAUAGAAGGCACCAGGAUAAGUGCUUCUCCACACCACACCUGGCAACAUGGCCACUAAUCAUGGUCCCAAAUGUCAUGUUGGUCUCCCUGACUCAGCACCCUACACAUGGCUUACCUAACCCUCUUAGCUUUUUUUAAUAGCUUUUUAGAGAUCAAUUACCACACUAUUUUUUUUAAAAAAAAAAAACUUCAAAUACCAUUCCCGUGAUUUCACACUUUUUUAUUUUAGUAUUUUAUAAUUUAAAAUAUAUCAAUUUAGUAUUAUAUGGUUUCGCACUUUCUAACUUUAGUACUCCGUGAUUUAAAGUGCAUCAAUUUAGUGCCCGUGGUUUUAUUUUUCUCUUUUCGUUGGCUUCUCUAUUAAUAUUUCAUUAAAUUAUAUACAAAAAGCUUCAGACACUCCACCUAGGUUUAUCAAAUAUUCACUUUAGUACCUUUUAAUUUUAACUUUGUCACUGAUUUAACGAAAAAAUUAGUAAAAUGAAUAAUAAAAAGAGAAAAAGAAAACCACAGGGUACUAACUUGAUACACUUUAAACUAUAGGGUGUUAAAGUGAGAAAGUGCGAAAUCACAUGGGGCUAUCUUGAUAUAUUUUAAAUCAUAGAGUAUUAUAAUCAAAAAGUACGAAACCAUGUAGGGAAUAUUUGAAGUUUACUUUUUUUUUUCUUUUUUCUUUUUUUUUUUCUAUUUGAGUUCUCUCUCUUCCUCAGAAUCCAUGUAGGGGAUAUUUGAAGUUUACCUUUUUUUUUUUUUUUUUAUUGUUUUUCCAUUUGAGUUCUCUCUCUUCCUCAUCCCACACUUUUGGAACGUGUGGAGCUGAGCUAUGGUAACGGAUGUGUCUCACUGUUGCUAAAAAAGGUUAAAAAUUAUUAAUGUUAGCAAUAGUUGCUACCUAUAGUAGCUACUAAUAAAAGUUAAGAGAAAGAAAUAAAGAAAAAAAAGUAAUGUAAAGCUCUAUCCAAUUAUUGUGGAUUAUUUAAGUAGAGGCUAAUCCAUUGUUUUUAAUAAAUUUAAUAGCUGAUAUUUGAUAUUCUAAAUUUAAAAGCUAAAAAAGCAUAUAUACUAUCUUUCUCUCGACAAGAAAUUUAUAUAGAGGUUUCGAACUCUGCAAAAUAAUUUUAAAAACAUUUUUUGUUUUUUAAUCUUUUCUUAUAUAAAAUUAAUUUUUAGUUUAUUUUUUAAAAAAGUUUCUAUGGAGUGUUCUUCUGAGGAAUCUAACAAUAUCAUGGUAAGAUUGUUAACUUUAAUCCUCUUCUUCACAAAUUUAUUUUGUUGUAAACGUAAUUUUCCUGGCGGAAAGAAAUAAUUAUAAAAGAAAUAAAAAAGAUAAGACUACUAACAGUUUAAUUUUCUCUCUUUUUUUUUUGAGAAAAGCUAACCGAAUAAGUUUCAAUUUAAUCGAAAGAUGUUUAGCAAAAACUUUUUUUAAAAGAAAUACUUAAAAUUCAAAAAGUUAUGAAAAACUAGAAACUUUUAAAUUGGCUUUGUUAGGGACCUACAUAUGAAUUUUCACUGGAGAUUAGGUCAGCUGAAGGAAAAAUCUGGUCCAUUCAUUUGAUCAUCAUGAAGCAUGUCGCGUCAACCUCACAGUGCUCCAUACUCUUCCUUGUGAAAUAAUGCGAAACAAUCAUUAUUCUUUUAGAAACUUAAGUUAUCAGUAUUAAAAAGAGUUAAGCAUGGGUGCCCGUGGACGACUUGUUAUGGAUUUGCACAUCUUCUUUCUCGAAUGGCCCUAACUCGAAUCGAGAACGUCUUUUAUGUAACAGAGACUUAAGAGAGGAUUCGUGCCAGAUCAAAUGAAAUUAGCUAGAAACAUAAAGUAAUUAGGCUUUGAACUUGAAACCUCAAGUACCCACCGUCAAGUAUUUAAAUAAGAUACUUUUGUGAACAAAUCCUUUACAUUAAACUUUCUACAAACAGAACAUAAAAUAAGUGUGAAGCAAAACAAGUGUGUACUGAGAUUCAACACACAACCAGCAAAGAAUAAACAAUGGGACAGAGCUUCUAUCCACAGCACCAAACAAGGCAUGUGCUUUUCGACACUCUGAAGGAUAAGCAUGUUCAGAUCAUGACCCUCUAACUAGUAGCCAUCAUUUAUCAUUUCCAUGCAUGCAUUUGGCCCUCUAUACAGAUGUGCCAUGCUUGCAUGCCAUGGAGGGAAUUGUAGCUUGGAAAAAGAUUGUUCUCAACUUGAUCCAUCCCCUCUUAAGAAAUGGUGAUCAAUAAUAGCCCACUUUUCAUUACAUAUUUGAACUUAUCCGCACUGAGAAGUAAUAAGUUACGCAUUUGACAAACAAAAUAUUCCAGACUUCUUGAUAUAUGAAAAGUUGAAAGUGCAGAAAUUAUAUCGUAAAUCUUUAUUGUGCGAUUCGCAUGAUGCAUUAUUACUUAUCAAAAUAAUAUAAAAUAUUUUUACUAUACUUUUUUUUGCUGUACGUAAUGUAUUUUGCCCCGAAUCCCAAAUAGAUUGCAAUAGUACCCAAAGCUAUCCAUGCAAGCAGCGCACGACUCACUGAGAACCACUCAUUGUAUUUUGAUACUUCAGUUACUUCAAUUUUUUAAAUUAAAAAAAAAACCUGUCACUAACUAGACAAAGGUUUUAUUUGGUAUUGGGGUUCAUCUGAUUCUAUUAAAUAAAAUAAAGUUAGGAUAAAAGUAUAUAAAAAUAUGCUUCUGCAUUCUUCAGUGAGACUAUAGAAAAUAUAUUAUAGUCGACUCAUCGCGAUAUGCGAAACGCAGUAUUAAGUACGAAAACAAACAGCGAAUUUUCCUAUCAUAUUUUCUCACCGCACGUAACGCAAUCUUUUCAUAAUUUCAAACAAAAGCCGAGGAGGAUUGAAAUAUGAGAUGGAAUGACCACGGAGCAGCGUGGUGCAUGAAAUGACAUGGUACACCUGGUUCGCGCAAAAGUUUCUUCUAGGAUUUGUGUGCUACUACUCAUAUAGAUAGAACAGUGGUGCCUCCCUUUCUAUCACCAUUCUUAAGAAAACACACUACCAUUGCUCAUCUACUCCUCUCCAAGAACCACAAACUAAGAGCUCCCGCCAUGCACGGCGUCCGCGCAGACACAUCUCAAUCCCCACAUCCUCUUCUCCCCUCCGCCAUGACGACAACCGGCUUCCCUAAGAAGCCCUCUCUCCCUCGCAGCAGCUCCUUCGAGCUCGAGGUGUUCGACGCCAAGCGCUACUUCUCGGGCGCCAUGGACAACAUCCUCCUCGACGCUUCUACGAAAGCAACAAACACGACGGAACAACAAGAAACAUGCAGCAGUAUGAAGAAAGAGAUCGCGAACACGCCCGUCGUCAAAGAUACCAAAAGAGACAGCAGGUGGAAGAAGCAACAGCCUGGCUCGCCAGCCGGCAUCAAGCUUGCUGGCUUUCUCAACUCCCUCUUCUUCCACCAAGCAGCUUCUGCAAAGAAGCAGAAGUCAUUCAACACCGCAACGAGCAUCGACAACGAUUAUAAAGACACCAGAAGUCUUACAGGGUGGAGGAGGAGGAGCAGCAGCAGCAGCAGUAGCCGUUCGAAGAGCAUACGAAACUGCGACUCACAGUCCUUGUAUUCGCAUCAGAGCAGCCGCUUUUCAACUCCUGGUUUUAAUGAUUCCUCAACACCAACUGUCCAGAAGGAGAAAAGUAGAUUCUGUAUCAGUAAACAGAACAAGGAGGCAAAAGCUGAAACUUCUUUACAACAAAGCAAAGUUAACACUUUUAGCGGAAGAUGUGAUCAAAGGCUCUACGGAAUCGAGUUCGAGGGAAGAGAUGGGUAUGUGGGGAACAAGUGGAUGCUAAAUAAGACAAGUGAUAGAUAUCUGGAAAGAGAAUGGAUUUUGAUCAAUGAGUUCAUGGAGAGGGACAAGAAGAGCACAAAUUGUAGGAGAGAAGUUGAUGGUGGAGGGUGGGAGAGUGAUUCGAGCUCGGAUCUCUUUGAGCUCGACAACUACGAUCUUGACGCUCCAUCGAGCGGCUUGCCGGUUUUCGGGAGUACAAAUUUGGAGAGACUCAAGGAAGGAACUGCCAUAGUUGGUUUUGCAUCUUAAAAGAGCUUCCUUUUUUCCUCCUCUAUCUUUGCUCAGUUUUCAUUUUCUAUAUAUGGAUUGGUUUUUUGUUUGCAUACUAUGUGAUUCUUUCCAAUUAAAAGGUAGUUGGUGUUAUCAUGUAACAAUGAAGUGUUACUAUCACCUUCACAUGCCUAAAUUUGAGUAAAUUAUCAGGAAAAAUCCUACAACUCACAGUACUCAAUAAUGUAAUAAACAUGCUUACUAAGAGACAAUUAGCUAUUCACAAUUAGCUAUUCUGUGCCAUUGUGUGGGAACAAUUAACACAACUAUAGCAUAUUCGAAGACGAUUAAAUAAAUGGAAAGGAACGCAUUUAUAAUGAUGAAAACACAGAUAGUAACAAUUGAGCCUGUUUUCAAUGAGUUGGCGCACAAGCAGAUAAACCCCUUUGAUGAAAGUUUGCAUCAAGAGUUAGCUUAAGAACCUAUUUUCAAUAAAAGUGUACACAAAGAGCCAAAGAGGGUUUGUGUAAGAAAAUAAUUGGAUUUAGAUAGGAAUCUCGGACGAUUAGGGACCGAAAACACAAUAAUAAAGAACCACAAGGAUGUCAAGAGAGGAAAGCAAAAGACUCACAAAGUGAUUAGGGACAAAGAAAUAAAAGGAUUUAAUGCUAUUACUCAUAAUAACAAGACAUAAGAGAGCAAAGAUUUACAGUUCUUCAUAUCAGAAGACAUAAUAAAUAUCAUAUGGAAUUCUGACAGAUGCUUACAUUUUGCAUGGAGCUCGACAACUUAAAUUUCUCAUAAAGGUAAAAAAACAAAAGAUGCGACUUUUAUAAUAGAUGACAUGUUGCAUACCCUUAAAAUUUCCCGCUCCUUUUGAUAAGAGGGGAUCAUUUUUCAACUUCAGUGAUAAUUUUAUUGAAAGAAUCCCAAAUGUUCUGAGAUAGUAACAAUUGAGCCUGUUUUCAAUGAGUUGGCGCACAAGCAGAUAAACCCCUUUGAUGAAAGUUUGCAUCAAGAGUUAGCUUAAGAACCUAUUUUCAAUAACUUUUAAGUGUACACAAAGAGCCAAAGAGGGUUUUAGUGUAAGAAAAUAACUGGAUUUAGAUAGGAAUCUCGGGUGAUUAGGGACUGAAAACACAAUAAUAAAGAACCACAAGGAUGUCAAGAGAGGAAAGCAAAAGACUCACAAAGUGAUUAGGGACAAAGAAAUAAAAGGAUUUAAUGCUAUUACUCAUAAUAACAAGACAUAAGAGAGCAAAGAUUUACAGUUCUUCAUAUCAGAAGACAUAAUAAAUAUCAUAUGGAAUUCUGACAGAUGCUUACAUUUUGCAUGGAGCUCGACAACUUAAAUUUCUCAUAAAGGUAAAAAACAAAAGAUGCAACUUUUAUAAUAGAUGACAUGUUGCAUACCCUUAAAAUUUCCCGCUCCUUUUGAUAAGAGGGGAUCAUUUUUCAACUUCAGUGAUAAUUUUAUUGAAAGAAUCCCAAAUGUUCUGAGAAAAGCUUGAAAAGGCAUCUUCCAAACUUUGUUGUGUAAAACUUUUGAGUGGCAAGAGCUAUUCUUCUCUUCUUAUUUCAACAACCUCUUCAGGCCAAAGAACAUCUCAUCCUGAGACUAGUCAUUUUUGCUGUCUCAAUCUCCCUAAUGAGAAGAUAAAGCCCAAGAACUACAAGCCACCACUCACAAAGUUUUUAUAAAUAAUUCCACGAAAGGAUAGAAUGAAAUAAGACAAAAAAGGAUAAAUACGAGAGCAACUUCAGCCACUCUGCCUCUAUCUUUGUCCCCGCUAGGUGUCGAAACCUCAUUACUGAGAAAGCUGAGCAAUAUGCUUGAAAAGCUAAGCUCCGAACCAAAAUUCAAAAAAGCAACUCCAAACCAAAUUGUAAUUCACCAAUCUUGCUGAGAUUUGAUGCCAUUCCUCGAAUAAAACUUCAUUUGCAUCCCAAAUUGAUGGCCUUGUAUUGUCCAUUUUUUAUGAGAAUUUGCUGCUUAAUACAAAACUGGCCAUUAUUUUUACGCCUGUCGCACAUUUUCCGUGGCUUUUCUUUGUUUCAGCAAUGCAUCACAAACCUUCGCAGCAUCCAAACCAUAACCCACAUUAUGCACUCUUAUAACAUUAGCACCGCCCAAAACAUUAGCACCGCCCAAAAUCCCCGCCGUAACAGCUGCAAUAGUAGCAGGAUCUCUCUCAACUGGAUCAGUUCGAUUACAUAUCUCACCUAAAAAUCUUUUCCUAGAUGGUCCAACCAAGAUCGGUAAAUGCGAGCCACCUACACUUCUUUUUCCAAUUUCUCUUCUAAUAGAAGGCAAUCCCAUAAGAGUUUCAAGAUUAUGCUCCAAUUUCUUAGAAAAUCCGAUACCAGGAUCAAUAAUUACUCUCCACAAGGGAAUUCCCGCCAGCUCAGCUUCACUCACCCGUGAGUAUAACUCGCAGGCUACUUCCUUGCAAACAUCUUCAUACUGCAAAUUUUGCUUACUUUGCAUAGUUAAUGGAUCUCCUCUCAUGUGCAUAAUAACAUAAGGGACCUCGAGGUCCCCGACAACACUAAGUAUUUUGGGGUCUAUUUUCCCCCCAGAAACAUCAUUAACGAUAUGGACUCCUCUAUUGACUGCUUCAAAAGCAACUUCGGAGUAGAAAGUAUCGAUCGAUAACAGCUUUCCUUCAAUCUCAGGAAUUUGCAUAAUUGCAUCUAAAACAGGAAUUAACCUCUCAAGUUCUUCGGCAGGAGAUAGUCUACUUCCAAAAGGCCGAGUUGAUUGAGCUCCGAUGUCGACGAUAUCCGCACCUUCUGAUAUCAGCAACUUGACGUGAGAAACCGCAUCUUCAACUCGUUGAAACUUCCCUCCAUCGCUAAAGCUAUCGGGCGUGAGAUUGAGAAUGCCCAUCACGUGGGUUUUCUUCGACCAGUCCCAUAAGCAAUUUUUCACUGGUAAGACCCUUCUUAAUCCUUCCUUUCCAAUUGAGGACUCGCCCCCAAGUUUCUCCCAUAUUUCAAAGAUCCCUCCAUUGCAUCUCGAAAAUGAAUGCCAACUUGAUUCAAUUUCAUUGCCAACAGAUGACCCAAUUAGGUCAACAAGCGGAGCGAUUACAAACGGUCUCUCCCAAAUUCGUUCAUGUGGGAUCGUAAGAGACUCCGAUUCGAUCUUGGACUCCCCAUAGAAGAGAAUGUCUAGGUCGAUCGGUCUAGGCCCAUACCUAACCCCAUCGGUUCGCCCCAAAUCCUUCUCAACUUGCUUCAGAACAUUAAGCAACUCAUGGGGCCCGAGUUUCGUCGUCCCUCUAAUGGCGGAGUUUAGAAAUAGAGGUUGAUCAAUAACAUAUGCAGGCGCGGUCUCAUAUAACAAGCCGUGUCUGGUGAUUGUCACCCCCGAUUUCUUCACCAAGUUUAGGGCAUUAUCGAAAUUUCGGACUCUGUCGCCCACAUUGCUCCCUAAAGCAAUCACCACCUCCUGCUCAGGAGAAUGAACCGAUACUGAAAAUGAACGAAUAAACGAAAAAUUCACGGUCGAAUUAGCCGAGGAACGAAGGGAGGGCCUUCGGUUCGAUCCUGCGAUAUGAAAAGAGGAAUCGACAAAAGACGGGUUUAUAUUUUAUCCUUUUUUUUGUAUAAAUUUGAUGAAAAGAGGGUGAAAAACAGCACCUUUAGAAGUAAUUGCAAAGGGGAAUCCUUUGAGUUGAUGCUUGGCAAUAGGAAGCAUCCACUUAACUCUUUCCUUGAUGCGGAACAUAAUAUAUAUAGAAAUUUAAUCACAUUACUACACAAAUCUCCUCGUAAGUUGAUCUAAAUCCAAAUAUGAUGAGAAUUUGGGGAAUCCUGAAACCAAAGAGCUACUACAUGAAUGAACAGGUGAUCUGAACAAGGGCACAAAAUCACAAAAAAUUCUUGAAAAAGAGUAUGAAUAAUGAGAAAAUAUCAAAUCUUACAAGGGAUAAAAAACUAAUUUUAAAACCAAAAUUACAUCUUUGCGCUAAGACAUUAGGGUCUAAUAAAGUGUGAUUCGAAAAAGAUAGCAACAAAAAUCGUAAAUUUUACUCGGAAAAGAGAUAGGAGAGCGAGGAUUAAUGAAAUUAAUUAAUACAACCAAAAUUGCGAGGAUUAAACCAACCUUUUUUUGUGCAAAGGAAACGCAAUUUUGAAGAACGGGGGUAUCGAUUUGGAUUGGGAUUUGGGAACGCAGAGAAAAGGGUUUAAUGGCGAAGAUAUUUAAUUACCAUUUUACCCUUUAUCUUGUCGCUUUUGGUUUGGUUCGAUUUUGGAGGUUUCUCCAAAACCACACUGGACAAUAAUUAAUUUUAUGUAAUUUGGGUAGACAAUUAUUUAUUUAAAAAUACUUAAUUUGAAAAAAUAAAUGUUACCCAUUUUUUGAGUUUUUUAAUUUAUAAAAUAAAAUACCAACAAAUAGAGGCAAAUCAACCCCCACCUGUCCGGUCCGGUCCGGUCCGGUUUGAGUAAAAAAGUCGGUGAGUUUCUCCAAAGAAGGAGGGGCAAAAGAGUAAUUAUGCUCCAAGCCAAUCUCCUCAUGGGAGAUUUUGUUCAACGAGAGAGUCGAAAGAUUACAACUUUUUUUUAGCUUCUUGGAGAAGCUCAUUAAUGGCGAUUAUGAGAAGCUCCUUUCUCUAAUAAAACUCCAAAGAAGAAGAAGCUUGUGGAACGAAUCAUGGCCACUCUUCCAUUCACGUGUCCUCUCCCUUUUCCAAGGUCCCUCCUUUUUUUUUUUCAUUUACCUUAAAAAUCACUCUUUUAAAGUAAUUAUUUAUGUGUUCUAUAAUUUUCUCCAUUAUCUUAAGCUCAUGGAUAGAUCUCGUCGUUAUAUUUUGUGGGUUUUCGUAAGUUUCUCAAUCAUUAUGUACUGUUGGAACUAUUUAAAGUAGGUAUUUUGUUUCCCAAUUGUAUCAUUGAUGCAUUUUGUGUUUGAUAACCUUUUUCUCUUUGAACACUUUAAAAAAAAGGUCUCUUUUGGAGAGAGAAAGUUUUUAGAAAAGUGUGUUGUUCAAUUUUAAUUAUAAAACUUCAAUUCUAAAUGGGUACUGAUAUACAAUGAUUGAUGCACAGGAAACAUUAGUUGAUUGUACUAAAAUCGGCGCUGUGUCUCUUUAAUAUUCAUGAAAAUGGAGAGGUUAUUCUUCUACUAUUUCAUAGAUCUUGACAAAAAGAUGACAGUUUGGCAAUGUAGUAAAAACAGAAAACUAUUUCGAGGAAAGGGUUCUUACUCUUUCUUAUUCAUAAUCUUGUUUAACUACUAUACGAUAUAUUGGUAUCACAUUAUAGUCGUAAAGAAACUUCAAUUGGUCGUAUCGUCACUUGAUAUGUAAAUUGUGCAGGGGGCAGCUUCUUUGUCCAUCGAGUCUUUUGCUAAAUAUGAUUUGUCCCAAUGAUCAUAGACCGCAUAAGUUAUACAUUAGAGCCGUUUCAAAGAAAAGUGAUUCACAACUUGUAGUAGAGAAUCCAAGUAAUGAGGAAAGUAGUGUUAAAACUUCUAAAAAAGCUGAACGAGCUCCCAGACGCAGUAGAAAGAAAGUUGCUGCAGAAUCUUCAGAUAGGAGUUCUAUGGAAACUGUCAGUACUGUGAGUGAAGAGGAAACAAGCGCACAAUCAGUAUCUGCUGAGGAAACAAAGAAAGUUUCAAGGAGAGCUCGAACGAAAGGUAAAUGCCACCUUCAUCUAAUUAGUGCUUGUUUGGCCUGGCUAGAGCUUUUGCAAAUGCGCUAUUUGAGUAUAGUUGGUUAAGAAGGUAGCUUUUCAUCUACAAUUUCUUGCUGCAGCACAAGAAGAAGCUUUAUAGUGGAACUUCUACUUUUGGGGCUUCAAAGCUCAUUUUAGCCUCUAACAAUGGUAGAAGAUUCAGACUAUUGUUAGCCAAAUGGCUAGUUUCUAGAAACUUUUGCUUUUGCGAGUUGAGAAGUUGUUUCAAAAGUCAAGUCGUACUGGAUGAAUAACCUAAGUAACUUGAGCAUGCACUACAUCUCAUCAUAACUUUGUUUGAUUUGCAGCUACAAGUAUAUCGAGCUCAGAAGGGGAGAGUGUUCAACCAAAAGCUUCUAAGAGGAGGAGCAGGAAAAAAACAGUUGAUAUCGAAAAGGAUCUAACCAGUAGUGAAGUACUUGUUACUCUUGAGAAACCUGUGUCCACAAAUGUUCUCGACAGCGAAAAGGAGUUACAGUUAAAAGAAGGUGAUGGAGAGGAUAUUAGUUUCACCUAUAGUUGGCCACCUCUGGUUUGCUGCUUUGGCUCAGCCCAGUAUUCAUUCAUACCUUCAGGAAGGCCGGCUAAUCGAUUGAUAGACCAUAACAUUCACGACUCAUUGAAGGGCAUGUUUUGGGCCCCUGAUAAAUUCAUAAGAGCGCCUGGAGGGCCUGCGUCGAGUGUUGCAGUAGCUCUUGCAGCUCUAGGUGGCCGGGUUGCAUUCAUGGGAAAGCUUGGUGAUGAUGAGUUUGGUAACAAUAUUCUAUAUUAUUUGAAUGUAAACAAUGUACAAACUCGAUCACUCGUGCUUGACGGUUCGAAGCCUACUGCCUUGUCUUACAUGAAGAUAAUGAGAAGAGGUGGUUUAAGGAUGAGCUGCAAUAAACCUUGUGCUGAAGAUUGUCUUUUGGCUUCCGAGAUCAAUAUUGAUGUUUUAAAAGAGGUGAAAUCUUUUUUCCCGAAAGAAACUCUAUGCAUGAAGAUGGUGCUCUUUCCUUUUUCUCUAUUCCUGUAGAAUACUAUAUCUACGACAUGUAUAUUGGCAAUUUGUGGAAUAGUUUGGUUAUUACUUAUUAGUAAUGCUAGUGUAACAAGCUAUGUAGAACCAUAUUAGCAAGAUCGUACUAGUUUCUAUGUUAGAGUAUGCAUUUGCAUUUAGUGAAUCACUCUUUUGCGAAUCUAGUCAAGAACUGAAAGAUGCAAAAGUGUGCUAAAUGACAUUAGGUUGGGAGCAUUAAGCAUGAUUCUACUCAUCUAAUAUUUGAUUGAGUUCCUUUGUUAUUGUUUUACUCAUUUAUAGGCUAAAAGAUUUAUUGUAUUCUUAGAAUAUUUCCAUCUACAUGAGAUUUUUCUUUUGUAAUAUAUCUUUAGUCUUCUGAAUAUCAGUUUCGUGUUUCUUUUCUAAUUCGUUGUGCCGAUUUAUUUUGUCAUUUUCGGGAUGCAGGCGAAGAUGUUCUAUUUCAAUUCAUCAGCCUUACUCGAUUCAAACAUGAGAUCGACAUUAAUGGAAGCAAUCAAAAUUUCCAAGAAAUUUGGAGGCGUCAUAUUCUUUGAUCCUAACCUUCCACUGCCACUGUGGGGGGCAAGCGAAGAAACCAUGUCAUUCAUCAAGGAAGCAUGGAAUGCCGCCGAUGUAAUCGAAGUCACCAAACAAGAACUCGAGUUUCUCUGCAGCAUCAAACCUUUGGAGAAAUUUGAUACCAAAGAUAACGACAAAUCUAAAUUCAUUCACCACAAGCCAGAACAGAUUAAGCACUUGUGGCAUGAUAAUCUCAAGCUCCUCUUCGUGACAAACGGGACUUCUAAGAUACACUAUUACACGGAGAAGCAUGAUGGAUGGGUACGUGGAAUGGAGGACCCACCUAUUACUCCGUUUACUUGCGACAUGUCGGUUUCAGGGGAUGCCGUUGUUGCAGGUAUACGAGACUUUUAAACUGAACUUUAACUGUUUCGCACUUGCCUUUGGUACAUUUGGCAUUUCAGCUGUGGCUCCUCCUUUAAGGAACUGCAAGUAUAUUAAUUCAUAACCAUGUUAAUUGCGAUUUGACCUACUAACUUUAGUUACUCCCAAAAGAGAAUCCUAGACCCUUUUUGUAUUUUUUGUAUUGAGUUCGGCGCAUAAAGUUUGAUUGGGUGCCAAAAACUCACCAUCUAGAUAAAACUUUGCAGCUCAAACCGCAAAACAUCUGUCGGUCCUUUUAGCACCAAAUUAAAGUUGAAGGAUCAAAAGUUCAUUAAGGAAAAGUUUGGCAGGUUUUAAUGAUUUUAACGUAGAUUUUACGAUCAUACUUACAGUAACUAACACUUACAAAAUUCGCGUGCUUUACAUAAUUUAGUUUAGUCACUUUUUUUCGCUUUGUAUUCAUCUGAAGUAACACUGUUCAUGCUUCAGCUCUCAUGAGGAUGUUAACAGUCCAACCCCAUCUAAUUACCGACAAGGGUUACUUGGAGCACAUGAUCAAGUACGCAAUCGAUUGCGGUGUGAUCGACCAAUGGCUGCUCGCGCGAGUUCGCGGCUUCCCUCUAAAAGAAGGGCUCGAUGUCGCUUCUUCGCAGCAUGAGAUGGCGAGAUCCCUUACAGAGAGAGAAUACCGGACAGUGGAGGAACAUGUUAGCUGAUCAAAGUCUGCAUGCUAGACCAUUACAUUAUUCACUUCUACAGAAAUCACUUCCGAGUUUCAGUUGUCAUUACGAAUAAUCGUAGGAACAGAGGCAGAAAUUUUGUAGCAGUUGUGCUAAUAGAGAAGCUGAUUGUAUUACUCGAGUAAUUCAUUAAACAAGAAAAAAAUUUUCGCUCGCUUUUCAGAUAAGUUUGUGCAGUUAUCUGCGGUACAUAAAGAGUGUGUUUUAUCAUUUCUGUAUGUGACAGAUACCAAAAUCCUCUUGUGUCAGUAACACAAUUUGUAUUUGUUGCAAAAUCAAUUUGAUUUUGACCCACACUCUUUGGUAGAUAGAGAGAGAGAGAGAGGAAAAAUAUAUGCCAAGUCCUUUAACUGUUCCAGUAUUGCAAUGUAUCAUAUUGUUGUUUUGUUUGAAUGUAUAAAUAUUUUAUUCAGUGUUUAUUUUUUAUUUACUCAAUAAAAUUAUAGUAUCGGUACAAAUUAGCGAAAAAUUAUCUUAAUUUUUAAAUUAAAGAUUAGUUUUUUUUUAGAACAAGAUAGAUUGUUUAGUAAGUAAAAAAAUACUAUUCAAUAAAAUUAUGAAUAUUUGACUAACUGUAAUUACUAUAAAUUUUGAAACUUUUGCUGGUAAAUAGAAAAAUUUUAAAGCUUAGGAGGUGGUUGGUUGCUCAGAGUGUCUGGAAAACUAUUUUUUCUAAAAGAAAAAAAAUUAGGAGAAACAGUUCUUUCAUAAUUUCUAUUUAUUUUUCAAAUAAAAGUUUUUAAAAAUAAAAAAGUUUUUAAAUACAUUUUAAAUUUUUAAAAAAACUUUAAAACUAAUAUAAACUAUUUUUUCAGUUAAAGAAACUAUUUUUAAAAUUAUUCUUGGGAAAAUGAAACAUGUUUUUACCCAAAUUAUUAAUUCAUAGCAGAAGAAGAAUUGAAUUGAGAGAAAGGUGUGACAUGGGAAAGGUGAAGUACUUUUUCAGUUGUUCUCGGAGCUUGGCGUACAAACACGCUUCGUACAUGGUGCUCUCCACAGAGAGAGAGAGAGAGAGAGAGAGAGAAGAGACGCGAAGCUUCUAGAGCUUGAGAGGGGAUGCGGAAGCUUCUCCACUCCAACCUCUCACGCCGCCUCAAUCAAACCCUCGCCGCCGCUGCCGCCCCCAAAUCCACCGCCGAAACCCUAGCCCUCUUCGCCUCCUCCGCCGCUCCCCCCCGCCACCACCACCUCCUACUCCGCCGCUUCCACUCAUGGCGACCGCCGAGCCACCACCGCGGGCGCCUCCGCCCCCCGACCGGAACCCUAGGUUUCCUCUCCGGAACCAUCCUCUUCAACCGCGCCGGGGCGGCGGCGGCGGCGGCCAGGAGCGCCGUGCGGCGCUCCUCGGCGUGGCAAGAGAUCCGCUCCCUCCUCGUCUCCCUGCAGCGGAGGAGCGGCGCGGGCCACCUCUUCUCUUCGAUCCGGCGAUCGUGGUGAUCUCUCUCUUUCGCGGUUCUUGCGUUGCGUCUAUAGUACGGUUCUCUUUGUGAAUUAGUUUAAUUUGGAAAAAAGAAAUAACGUGAAAUGGAAGAAAGGCAUCUUGUUUGCUAUGUUUCCAUUGAAGAUGGCUCGUAAUUUUUCUUUUUCAAUAAUAGUUUACGGGCAUGCUUUGGUGUCCAAUUUUGGAUUGGAUAAUAUACAACAUGAGAGCAAUGCUGAGGUACAGAAAUGGUUAAGUAAUCUGGUGGUCUCAGGGGUGGUCAUAUGUUGGGAAUGGGAUUGGAUUCGAAAUUUCGUGUCAUAUUUCAUCUCUUUUUCAUCUUAUCCUAUCCAAUUCAAUUUUGGAUCACAAAUGAGCCCAUAAUUAUGGGGCAUUGUUAAUGGAUGAUAAUUUUUGGCUAUAAGAAUAUAUUUAGAUAGAAAAAUGAAGCAGCUGAUAGAGAUCAACAAUGCCCAUAGCCAUUUCAUUAAUUGUUUUUCUUUCUCAUUUUGGAUGUCCUGGGUUCUUAAUUCAAUUGGUUGUUGCGAAUAUUUCUUUAUUCGGCCAAGAUAUAUGUUGGCUGCUUUUCUGUUUUGCAGGACAUAUUGGAUUCAGUCGCCUGAUGGGGUAGUUCAAUUUCUGAUAGGAACAAAUAUUGCUGUCUUCUUCUUGUGGAGAAUUGCUGAUCCAUUGUUUAUGAGGAAACAUUUUAUGGUCAGCUUCUCGACGAUCGCUUUAGUGCUGUCUAUGUAUCACUUUCAUGUGUUUCAGUGAUUUUAUUUAAUAUUAGUAGUCCUUUUGGCCCGGCCUGUACAGUUGUUUUGAUGCUGCUCUUCUAUGUGCUUGUGCACUGACCUCUUGGUAAUUGAUGAGCAGAUUUCACUAGAUAAUUUCAGAAGUGGGCGCCUGCACACGUUGCUGACCAGUGCUUUUAGUCAUUCUGAUCUUGAUCAUCUUGUGACUAACAUGAUUGGUCUUUACUUCUUCGGCUUAAAUGUAAGAUCUUUCCUUCCAUGGCAUAUCUUUCAUGCUGAAACUUUUUUCUUCCCUUGCUUCUGAUAGAUGUUAAUAAGUUAUUAAGUUGUAUUUCUGUGCUAGAUCUACUCAACAUACGAAGAAAGAGAGGAUGUUUAUGAUAUCUUUUUUUUCCAUUGCAAUCUUUACGAUCACCACACAAUUUUAGAUUAGUUCAAGAUUUUGGAUGUCUGGUGUAUAGAUUGUACUUACGAUUGUUACGAUAUCUUCUCUUUUACAUGCCAAUUUUCUCUCACUUCAAUCAAGUUACUGUUGACUCUUCAAUCAAUUUUUUCAGAUGUUGGACUAUGGAGUUUUUUUUUUUUUCCCUUCCUUUUUGGUAGGAGCAAGAUUGUGACCUUCUUACUGAUAUAUUGACAAGAUUGAAACUUGCAAGUGGUGAGGACCAACAUAUUAAAUUAAAUAAUUAAAGCCUAUGAAGUUUUGAUGUUAGCUUCGUAUAUAGAAAUUUGAAAGGGAUUAGAUACUCUGGGAAGAUAAUGGGGUUGAUUAAUGCUAGUUGGUAUGCUGACGAUGCUUUUUUUGUUUCCUCUGUUGUCCCUCACGUUUGUCUUUCAUGAUGAAUGCAUCUCUUCUAUAUUCAAGAGUGCAAGUUUAUCAGCUGCAAAGCCAAUUAUUUGUUAGAAUUGCCUGAUUUGCAUGUAUUUACAAAUCGUUUGCUCAUUUUCAUCCAAGUUAGAUGUUUGAGUUUCCAUAUUAUGUAGCAUAGCUUAUCCUUACUAAGACUAGCCAAAAGUGCUUGUUAUGAUUGUCCAAAUACAUAAUUUCAAUUAUUAUUGUGAAUUGAUCUGCCUAUGUUGUUCUCCAAUCUUUCUUGACGAUCAGAUUGCAAACCGUUUUGGGCCUCAGUUCCUGCUUAAGUUGUACCUCGCAGGGGCGCUUACCGGAUCUGUCUUUUUCUUGGUUCACAAGGCUUUUCUAGUCCCGCCUAAAGCAGUAAGAGUUUCUUAAGAAUCACUUUUAAAUUGUCUAUAUUUUUGUUCAACAACUUCUUUUAAGAAUGAUAUCACUGUUAUUACAUGAUGACUUAUUUUCAUGACAACUGUCAAGAUGGUGACUUAUUACUGCAUCUUUCCAUGUAAUUUCAGAGUUAUCGAGGAUGGGAUGAUUCAAGAGUACCUGCACUGGUACAUGUUUCUCGAGCCAACUGUUUCCAUACAAGUUCGCACACAUUUAAACUGUAUUCCUACUUUUUGCACAAAGAAUUAAAUUUAUGGGUAUAAACAAAAUCAACCUUUCCUGAAUAGAAUACUCCAUAAGGUUAUAAAAUGUUGUAGUAAAAACUUGACAAGCUUCAUUAAGGUCUGACAGGUUGGUAUUGAUAUAACUAUAUAAUAAAAAAUUAUGCAGUGAAAUCAAAACAUUUAAAGUUGUGCCAAUACCCAUUUCAAAAUACGCUAUAGUUCAGGUAGUCACCAAAUUUAUUCGACCUGACAACUAACAAUACAAAUACUGCAUAAUCUAGAAAGGGGUUCAAUUGUACGGCAUAUUGGAAAGCAUAGAUGGCAUUUGUUUUGGGCCCAAGGGCUGAUUGUGAUCUUUGUACUUGAUGUAAUUCAGGGUGCAAGUGCGGCUGUUAAUGCAAUUAUUCUUCUUGAGGUGUUUUUGUUCCCAACAAGAUUAGUCUAUCUCUAUUUCGUUGUGCCUGUACCUGCAAUGCUAGUGGUGAGCUUAUCUUCCUUACGUACAGAAUUAUACUGCUCUAAGAUUAUUUUGCUUACCUCGGGGCAUAUUUGGUUUAUCUCAUUUCAGGGUGCUUUGUUGAUUGGAUCGGAUUUGUGGAGGAUUAAGACGGUAUGUGAAAUAGCAUUUUUACCUAGUUUAUUAUAUAUAAUUAACUUUGAAAAUUUAUUGACACCUCCAACUAUAGGUUUCAUCUAGAAAGAGGCCCUGAAAUCUCAAUCAAGUUUGAAUUGAACCCUCAACUAAAAUAAUGUUUUUUUUUUAAAAAAAAAAUUACACUUCAACUUAAUCUUCUCUGUAGCUUGUUGGCUCAUGGCUGUUUCUGAUAUGAUUUUGCAGCAAUUUUUGCAACUUAGCAGAAUUUAUUACCUUUUUAACAAAAAUCAUUGAAGUUUUUGAGUAAUGAGACGGACUCUACUCCAAUAGUUGAAAAAGAAAAGAGAAGUUGGCUGAGGACUUGAAUCACAAAAGUCCAGUAAUCUAUUUCAUGGUUUAUGUUUGCAGGGAUUGCUCUACCUUUAUUUUUACCUUUGUCGGAAUAAAUAAUGCUACCUAGUCAAAAUCUUAGCCUCUAAAAGAUUUCCAAACCUAGAAGCAAGAACAUUUCUACCUUUGCACCUCUUCUUUGGUUUAGAAACUUUUCAUUCCACCUUUUAAGUGAAAUUGGACCGUAUUGUUCAUGUUCUUUCUAUUUUUUUCCCUCUUUUUUUCAGGGGCAAGGCCAUGUUUCAGGUUCAGCUCAUUUAGGGGGUGCUUUUGUUGCUGCUCUUGCAUGGGCUAGAAUUAAGAAAGGCUGGUUCUAAUCGGCAACCGGUCAUCAAAAACUCUUUUUCUCCUCUUUCACUUUUUUUUUCCCUUUUUUUAUUUAAAAAAAAUUCUUGUUACUCUGGAAACAAUACUAAUCAAGUAACAAAUUGGAGCUAUUUUUUUUUCCCCAUCUCUUUACUUCUGAAAAUUGAAUAAGCAAAUAGUGUUGAUCUAUUGAUCUCUUGUUUUUAUCUUAUGCAUUGAAGUGAACUCUGGUUUUUGGUUGCGAGAUGAUGAGCUUUCGCCGAUUCAAGCUGUAUUGCACGAAAUGCCAACGCAUAAGCGGAACUUUCUACAUCUACCGUGUACAUCAUCCAUCAGCACAUAAUUAAUAAUCUUCGUGAAGAAAAUCUCUUUUUUAUAGUAAUAUUUGGAACAGUGCAAGAAGUGUGGUUGAAAAUUAUUAUAAGAUUGAAAAUUAUACAUUGUAUAAAUUCCCCGAAGUGUUUCUUUUUUUCAAUAGUAGAAUGAAAAGGUUUUAAUUAAUUUUGUUUCUUUUCAAUGUAAAAAUUACAUAGUUUUCUUUAUUAUAUUUAGAUUAGCCCCCCUUUUUUUCUUUUUGAUCAUUGCCUAUUAGGUCCCAUAACCCUACUCAAACUAACCCACCAUUUGUACUGAGAAGGCCACAGAAUCAAGCUUCGUAAAUGUGCCUGUAAACUCUUGCGGAAUUUGAAACUCUGCAAAUUAGAAAUCAAUUUAAAAUAUGCACUAGACAAUGGUUACUAGAUUCGUCCAAUAAAUUAGAAACCAAUUUUAAAUUAGAAAUCAAUUUAAAAUAUUUUUAGAAAUCAAUUUAAAAUAUGUCGAGAUAAGAACAACUACACUACACAAUGGUUCCUAGAUUCGCCCAGCAAAUUAGAAACCAAUUUAAAAUACGCCGGAAUAAGAACAACUGCAGUAGGCCAAUCAUGUGAAUAGCAAAUCACGAGUUUUCGCAAGUGAAUGACAGCGAUUCGCUACAAGCCUAUUUUAUAAUUUGGUGCGUCUCGAGCACGUGGCAUAAGUAAGUUGUUGCCUUGCUCGGAAAGUUUCCACGUAAAUAUCCGACGAACCAAUCACGCACUGGCACGUGCACAGCGUUUGUUCAUAGCUGUCCAACAAUACGUAUAGGGAAUCCUUCCUCUUACAGCGGAGGGAGUAGAUAGACAAGAAACAAAUGAAUGCACCCGGUGCACCCUACACCGUAAUCUCUAUUGUACCAUUAUUAGCUUGGAAAUGAAGAUUACUACUGUAUAUCUAGUAAACCCAAAAUAUUCUUAUAUAUUAUUGAUAUCUUAAUAAUAUAAAAAAAUUUUAAUUGGCUAAUGUAUACUAUUUAAAGUAUCAUAUGAACUUGCCAAUUUAUCAAUAAUAAUAAUAUGUAUAUUUCGCAUGAUCAGCUUACUGAGGUGUGGUGGUGCACGGUGCACCGAGUCUAUACGGUAAUUUUUUUAUUGUAUUAAGGUAGGUGGAUCUAGUCCUUACAGGUGCGGUGCACGGUGCACGGGGUUCAUCGAUAACGUUUCCCAUUAUACUAAGGUAGGUUCUGGGGAUCGGGAGGAAACGCGAAGCGGCGCACGUUAGAUUCGUGGGGUUUCAUCGAAGGCGCAAAAAAGAAAAGGCCAAAAAGAGAGAAACGAGAGAGCGAGGACGAAGACGAAUACGACCACGAGUAGGAUCGUGGAACAUGCCGAAGCGCAAAACCCUAGCGUCAGGUGCGUUACCAUUCUCUCUCUCCCCUCCUCCCCAACAAGCUUCUAAUUCACCAAUCCACGCCCCACCCCCAACUAGGGUUUAUACCCCAAUCCUCUCGCUUGGGUCUCUUAGAUCCCGAUUCGGUGUCCUUCGCCUCGGCUUCGAAUUGGUAUCGGUAGAUCUCUUUUACAAGUUGGUUUUGAAUCGAAUUGUUGAUGAAUGCUGCCGAUUUUGAGUGUUUAAACUGAUAAUUUGGUGCUCAGGGCGUUGAAUUCAGUGGGAUCCAAGAUGAGAUCUUGUUCUCCAUUAGAUCUUCUUCGUAUGUUAUUACCUUUUGUAAUGUAUGUUUUUAUUUGAUUUACUUUUAAGCGAGUGCUUGGGGUUAGUGGAUGUGGACUAAAGUUGUGACCCUUUUUUUUAAAAAAAAUUGAAGUUAGCUUGGAACUGGAAAUUUUGAUUUGAGAUGAUAAUUUACUUGGUUUUUGUUGAGUUGAGAUGCUUUAUGUUGCUUUAGGGCUAUGAAGUGUUUCCUUUUGUUGGAUUAAUUUUUUUUUUCUUUUAUUUUUUUUUUUAAAGAAGUUUUUCAGCUAAAUAGCUCAUGAUGAGUUAAGAUUUACUCUUUCUAUUACGUUCUUCUUUUAGAAAGAGAUUAGUUGAGUGUGUAGACAGUAUAGAAUCAGGGUUUUUAUUUAUGUGGGUAUUAUGGAGCUACUGUAAUGAAGUGUUCUAUGAGUCUAGCCUUAGCUUGAUGUAAUGACUCUAAUUGCAUCAUUCAACUAAGGCUCAUUUGAGUUGGGGGGAAAAAAUGAGUAUCUGAAUUGAGAAGUGAUUCCUUAUAUGGAAGUUCUAACGUGAAUUUUCCGAUGCCAAGUGGUGAGUGAUCGAGUGAGCGUUCCUGCCUCAUUCCCAAGAAAAUAAUAUGUUUGUAAUUAAUCAGGACAUUUAAGUCCAAUAGAGCCAUACUAAAUAAUGUGUUAUACUAAAGUAGUCCUUCUGGCACUGCACCUAUUUUGCAUUUUGCUACAAUUGGAAAUAAGAUUAUACAUGUGGUUAAAAUUUUGAUUUUUGCAAUAGCCGACUAGUCAGGCAACGCAAGGUACCCUCACUGGAAAAACCAUCUUAGUGGACGCACUUAGUUUCCUAGUUGACGCUUUUGACAACACUUGAUGGUGUAAUCAUUGGUUAACUGCACAAUGUGAAAGAGAUUAUCAUGUAAAGUUAAGCAACUGAAGUCUGUCGUUCCCCUCUAAUUUAUUCUCUUUUCAAGAUUGAGACCACACUUUGCCUGAAACUCUAAUUGUUUUUUCAACCUUUCUUGAGAUUAUUUACUUCAUUCAUUCUUUUGCUUCUGUACCUUUAAUGAUCUAUUUAUCUCUAUGUUAACGGAAGAGACCAUACAUGCUCAUGCAUGAUUUCUAUUUCUUACUGAUAUCACCCAAUUAUAUUCCCUGAUGAUCCUAUAUUGACGAUUGGUUUGACUUUUCAUCACAUCAGAUUUUUGCACUCUUUUAAUAUGAACCAAGUGUUGACUUACAUGCUUGUCUAAGAUCCUUCAAAUGACAUAUGUUGUUUCCAAAGGAUAUCUACAUCACUUUGUGUUUCUGUGUGUGUGCGUGGGCGUGGGAGCUGGCGCAGGCGCGGGCACGUUUUAAAAGAUAUUUAUAUUCCAGAGUGUGUGGUUGCAUUUGGACACUUAAAUGAUUUAAGUACAAAAGUACAUAAAAGAAAAGAUAGUCUUUUUAUAGAAUCAGACAGAUACAUGCACGUACACGUGCGGGUGCACACAUGCACUCAGGCAUGCACGUGGCCGUACACACACCGUGAUGCACAUGUGCGUGAACACACGCGUGCGCACACACACAUGCACACAAGCACUCAGGCACGCACAUGCCUUGCAUAUACACACACACGCACGCACGCACGCACACACAUUCUGAUGCACAUGCGCAUGAAGACACAUGCACACUGACAAACACUUCUGCAUGUAUUCAUACUUUUUAUCAUCAUGUAUGCAUACUUACGCGUGCGCACGCACACACACACAAGCAUACCAUGCACACAUGCACACGUGUGCACACACACUCUGAUGCAUGCAGUCGCAUGUAUGCAUACUUUUUAUCACCUGCAUGUAUGCAUUUCUAUGCACGCACGCACAUGCACAGAGACGCUCUGAUGCACUCAACUGCAUGUAUGGAUACUUUUUAUAAUCAGCAUGUAUGUAUACUUUUCAUCAAUGCCUAUACAAAUAUGAGUGUGCAUCAACAUGUGUAUUUGCUUUAUAUGAAUAUUUAUAUGCUUUACAUGCAUGUUUCUAUUAUCUAGCAUUUACUUGUUAAUAAGUUUUUCUGGAAUCCAAUUCUUCGAACUUUGCUCAUGCAUCAGCGUGUGUAUUUUCUGUCUCUCUACAUGCAUGUUUCUUCUUAUCUAGCAGUUACUUGUUAACUAAUUUCUUUUUCCUCUCGGAUUUUUUUUUCCCAACUUUGAUUAUCAUAUUGUGAACUGUAUGAAAGUAUGAUUUAUGUUAACAUGCAUAGUUUAUUCUAAAUGCUAUGCUGAUAGGAUCCCAACCAUCUCAGCCGUUUUAUCCUCCGCAAAGUUAGAAAAUGUGAAGAAAAAGCUUGGAACAAUGUUAAAGCAAAGUAUCAAUAGCUUCAUGAUUUUAAUUCCUGAAAAUUCUAUGAUGUAUAGAACACCAAAUUUAGUUGAUUGUUUUAUUCUAACCCAGAAGAUAUACCGCAUGAUAAGGCACUGUAAAAUUCCAAUAGUUUAUACGAAACCUGUUUGAACAUACAUGGCGACAAUUUUUGACCGACUUUAUUGCAGUAUAUAAUAAAGGGCAAUCUAGGGCUUGCUCCAUAAGGUUUUCUUUUCUUCAGUAUGAAAUAUGAAAAGAACUUAUAGUUUACUAAUUUAUGGAAAAGAAUUGAUAUUAUAUUAAUUUAUAGUGCAGUAGUUCGGCCAGUUCAAGGGAAGCGGAGAAGGAAAAGGAAGAAGUCAAAAGUGUCUGGUGAUGAUAAAGAAUUCGGUGUGAUGCAGAAUAAGGAUCGUAAAACUGAAAUUGAUGAGUUUAGUCCAUCUAAUUUGAAAGAGGUCAUGUUGGUUUCAGAAACUGUAAAAGAAGCAUCAGCAAGUGAAGUUUCAAUGCCACUAAUUGAGAAAGCGACAAAUUCUGCAGCCGCUGGUAAUCAAUCUUUACCAAAUCUUGAAGAUAUGGAAGCAUUGAGUAAAAAUAGCAAAUCUUCUGAUUCCAACAAUCGAAAUCCAUUAGUCGGCGAGAAAGAAGUCGAUGUCAAAGGAGUAAACACCAAUUCGGCCUCUAAAGGCGUUACAUUGACGUAUAAAAAGAGAAACAACAGGGCCACUGGGAAGUGGAAACAAAAGACCUCAUCUCAUGUUUCCGAAAACAACAGGGGCACUGAGAAGGGGAAACAAAGGACCCCAUCUUAUGUUUCUGAAAAUGUUGAUAGCUCUCCUACGCUGGAAGCUGCAAAUGCUGACCUAGUGUGCAAGAGAAAUAAUGAGGAAGCAUCCAUGAGUGGCAAUCUAAUCCUCUCAACUAACAAAGAAAAUUCAUCAACAACUGCUGAUGAUGAGAAGGUGGAGAUAACCAAAUCAGAACUUGAUGCUCCUAAAAACUCUCAUGAGGUUAAAAGCACUAAUUCUAGGCAAGUUAAGAAGUAUAGAAGAAGAAGAAGAAAGAGUAAGUCCUCUAACAGUGAAGCAUCUGUUUUGAAUGAGUCAAAAUCUGCCUUAGAAAGGGAAACCAGUAACUUAAUUUCAACAGCUGAGAUUGGUCAAAAUAAUAUCUCAGGAUGUGAAAGAAAGAAAAACAAGGGAAAGAAAAAGGUUUUUGACAAAAAUAGUUCGGAAGUUGAUCAGAAUGCUUCAUCUGCUGCAAUAUUGUCCUCAUUAGAAGAUGUGAAAGUAACAGACAAGAGGAGUAACGUGGAUGUAUCCAUAAAUGACAACAUGGUGUCAAAUUGUGAGACUUCUGAAGGAUUCAGUAAUUCUGCAGAGGAAAACACUAAAAUUGACACAAUUGACCGCAAGGAGGGAGCAAGUUUGCCUCCGUCGCCUAUUAGAGGUGUCAUAGAUUCUUCUUCCUCUUUAUGUGUACCAGUAAACAAGAACAAUAAUUUGGCUUCUAAUGAGGAAAGUGUUAAUUUCUCUUUCCAAAUAGGAGGCGACAUUCUCACGAAUGACUUAACUGUGAAAGAUGCUGUUGAGACGUGCAAAUCAAGAAGCAGAGAUAGUUCUCAAAUUUGUGCAUGCAUUCAGGAUAAUACAAAUGAAAGUGAGAAGGGAAUAGAUUUGUCACCGACUAACCUUGCUCAUAAGAAUUCUACCUCUGCAGAUGAAAUUGAGGACCAAGAUAAGAAGCUUAAGGCAAUCUCUUUGUCGCCCAAAGAGUCAAUACUAAGCCAUCAGAAAAAGCUCCUUGUUCUUGAUCUUAAUGGUUUGCUUGCUGACAUCAACCAGGACUACCGCAAUGCUCAUAAAGCAGAUAGGAAGGUUAACGGCAAAUUCGGUAAUAUGUAAUGCUGAACUUUGGCCUGGAACAAAGUUUUCUCUGUUAGAUUGCAUUGAUUUAGGUAAUGCUAAUGUUUUGUUUUUUUUUUGUUUUUUUUUUUUUUUUUGCUUUAUUGAUCAGUUUUUAAGAGGCCUUUUUGCGAUGAGUUUUUGGAUUUUUGCUUUCGGAACUUCAAGAUAGGUGUCUGGUCAUCAAGGAAAAUGUAUGUCUACAUCAAUUUGGCUCAUCAUUUCUUCACUUAUUUCUGAUUCAUUAGUUUCUCCUAUCAACUGACAUUUCUCUAGUAUGGCAUCCCACAAUUCAGGAUAUACAUAUUUAGUCAUUGUAAAAUUUCUUUCUAGCAGUGAAAUUUUAAACUUAAUGAUGGAUGAUUUUUUAAAAUUUUGUGCAGGUACAAUGUCAACUACAUUGUUGAUUUUCUUAUGGGAAAUCUGAAAGAUAAGCUAUUAUUUUGUUGGGUGAGUAGUACCAGAACUCUAAUUGACCAUGAUGUGCCUCACUUUAUUCUUCUUUUGUUAAUGCAUAAUAUAAUCCUUGAUUAAUAACUGUCUCUUUAUUGCCUCCACUUUUCGACAUUGUAUUGCAAAGGUAUAUAUUUCCUAGAUUUCAUUUACACUUGAUGAGUUGUUCAUUUCUUGGAGAAAUGUUAUGCAAUGGAUUUUCUUCAAUGUUUAUGCAUCACUUGUAACCGUAACAUACAUACUCCAAAGUUAGUGACAUGAAUUGCUUAAGAUGUCCUGUUGAACUGUCUAGUAAAAGUUUUUUAGUCUGUCCUUUGGCCUUUUACUUCUACAGCUCAUGUCAAUAAUGGAAACUGAACAAAAGAUAGAUAUUUGAAUCUUGAGGAGGCAUAUCGAAUGGAAAUUAAUUGUUCGUCGGAAGUUUUUAAAUUUAAUGGCGUGUAUUAGCUUAGUUUCUCUUUGUCACACCAUCAUCUUGUAACAAAUUAAUUACCGUUUCCCAUUUCUUUCCCAAGAAAGCACAAUUUUGUUACAAUUAUCUGCUAGUUUUGUUAAAUGUCUGCAGAAAAAUUGAAUCAUGAUUUUGCUUCUCUAGGCAGCAUGUGGAUAUUCCCUUAUUUUUCCUUCCUUAUGAUACCUUUUCUCUUUUUUCUUUUUUUUUUUGGUUUUCGGAAAGAUGGGUUGAAACAGAGUCGAGUGAUUAUUGACAGGCCCAGGAAGUAAGAAAUGGGCUAUUAAAAUCUUCUUCCAAUUUAAUUUUAGUUUUUCGUUGAGUUUCAAGUCUUUCUAGACUGUUAGAGAUAUAUAUUAAAUCUAGUAUACUUUUAUGCUGAAGGGGUCCUUGAAAUUUUUUUUCUUUUUUUGUUGUGGAUGGAGGUCCUACGUAUUGAGUAAACUUGCAGUAGAUUAGAGCCCUUUUUCUUGUAUAAGAGGUUAUGCUGCAUAGUAGAGUGGGAUUUGUUCCCUGAGUCCUGUUGUCGUCCUUGGUUACAGUCUUUAAUUUUUUUAUUUUUUUAUUUUUGUUAUUGGGCUUAUUCAUAAGCAAUUUUUUGGCUAAUGGUUUCAGUUUGCUUGUUAUACUUUGGACAGGACCAAUCGAAAUGCACUCUUACUGGGUAUAGGACCAUCGAGAACGUGCAUAAGCCAUUGGUUUUGAAGGAACUGAAAAAACUAUGGAACAAAGAUGAGCCAGAUCUUCCAUGGGAGAAGGGAGAGUACUCGGAAUCAAACACCUUACUUGUGGAUGAUUCUCCUUACAAGGCUCUGUGCAAUCCAGUAAUUAGUUCACCAUUUUCUUUUUUUCAUAUUUGGCUCUCUUUAAUGAAUUCUUAUAACCUAAUUAUGGUAUAGUCGUUGAUCAUUGCCCUGAUACCUUCUGAUGCUAUGCAGCCGCAUACUGCUAUUUUUCCUCACCCGUAUUACUUUAGCGAUCGAAAUGAUAACUCUUUGGGUAAGCCCUUCAUAUUAAGCCAAACCAAAUAAUGUAUUCCUAUAUUGUUGUACGCUAAUGUGCUUAUGUUUGCAAGCAGGGCAAGGAGGAGAUCUUCGUGUUUAUUUGGAAAAAUUAGCUGUGUGCGAUGAUGUUCGAUGUUUUGUUCGAGAAAACCCCUUUGGUCAGCCAGCUAUAUCCGAUUCCGAUCCCUCAUGGAAAUUUUACCUCCAAGUUAUUGAUAAAAUGGAGAAUAUAUCAGCUUCAGCCUUGUGAUUUUGGUCUUGUCGUAUUUGACCUUAAUAGUCUUCUAGAUAUUGAAGAAGCCCUCUUAGUACUUACAGACUUUGUACAGAGAUAGAUGGUAAGCAUAUUAAGUUUGAUCAAGAAGAAUAAUAAUUUUUGGUGAGAGCUCUUUUUAUCAAUCUGUUCAUUUUGAAGAGCUAGCUAUUAUGUCCCUCGAGUUUCAGGUGCCUCCUAUCGACAAAAUCGCACUGUUGUUGUAACAAAAGCUAGUUAUUUUGUAGCAGUAUCACUUUUGUUUCAGUUUUGUAAAGGACAGUUGCUAUCCAUAAUUUUUGUUUAAUUGUUUUGCAGCAUUUAACUAUAACUGUAGAGUGGUAGGAAAUUGUAGAAUUCAGAGAUAUUUAUUAUUAUUUUGUGAAAUGUUUUACUUUUAUUUGAAAAUGGUUUUUCGAGAAUCUGAUGGUGUAUCAAGAAAUGAUUGAUUAGUUAAGCACAAAUUUUACUUCCUAGCUAAAUGCCUCGUUCUGAUUAGUUAUUGGUUUGAGUUUCUUAUAAUUUUGAUGGAUUGAUUUUUUUUUCAUAUAUAUUUACUUCCCAAAUCAGCUAUUUCUGCUGUUAUAGGUACAGGGACAGCCAAAAAAAAAAGUGUUAAUUUCAUGUGUCCUACGAAGUUCUAAAAUUACGGAUUUAUUUAGGCAAAACUUUUAUUAUCAAAUAUAUCUCUCCAAAGCUUCAAAAUAUACAAACUUAUUUCAAUAUGUUGACUGUUGUUAGUUGAGUUAAAUUUUCUUCAGCAGAACCCUUAUAUUUUUAUAAAAAAAAAGUUCUUUUUUAUAAUUUAUAACUUAUAAUUAAGUUUUAAUAAUAUAAAAAAGAGAGCAAAAAUAUUAUAAUUGAUAAAUAAUUUUAAAUAUAAUUAAAAAAUUUUCUCAAAGAAAAGAAUGACACUUUUAUAGACAAAAAGUUAAUUUUAAUCGAUCAAACUAACGAAGAGAGAUAUUUGCAACACUUUUGUAGAGAUGCAUAUGCAAUUAACCUCUCCUCCACCCACCCAAAACCCAAAAAUAAAUAAAUAAAUAAAUAAAUUUCAAGUACAAGGUAUCAGAUUGGUUCAAAAGGACUUUUUUCGAAAAUAACCCUGUAAAAUUUCGUAUUUGCCAAACUAACCCUGUGAAAUUUUUAUUUGUGAAACUAACCCUCCUCUCGCCACGUGGGCGCCACGUCAGGGAUUCCUCAAAAAGACGGUGAAUCGUUCACCGUCUUUGAUAUUUGUUGUGAAGGCGGUGAAUGGUUCACCGUCUUCAUAAGACGGUGAACAAUUCACCCUCUUAGUACAAAUCCCUAUACUGCGCAAAUCUUUCUAAGUUCAUAAUAUGGUGUCCUUGAUAAGACGGUGAAUCGUUCCCCGUCUUCUCGAGGUUACAGAAAAGGCGGAUUUGAGAGGGCGGAAAGGGAAAAGGGCGGAAAGAGAAAUUUUGCACUAAAGGCGGUGAAUGGUUUACCGUCUUCUAAAGACGGUGAACCAUUCACCGCUUUUAAACAAAAAUUACAAAGACGGUGAACGAUUCAUCGCCUUUUUGAGAAAUCCCUGACGUGGCACCCACGUGGCGAAAGGAGGAUUAGUUUUACAAAUAAAAUUUCACGAGGUUAGUUUGGCAAAUAUGAACUUUCACAGGGUUAUUUUCGAAAAAAGUCCGUUCAAAAUUUUCCUGCCAUAUAUUUCUCAAGGCCCAUCCUUUCUCAAAUUUUACGCCAAAAUUUUUUUUCCUGCCAUACAUUUCUCAAGUAGGCCUAUCCUUUCUCAAAUUUUACCCCAAAAUAUUUCCUACAACGACCAAACUAAAUAUAAUAAAAUUUAAUUUUUUUAUCGCAUUCAGUUUGUACAUAAUGACCAAAUUUAAUAUAGCAUAAAUCCUUGUUGAGCAUAUAAUUGUUGUUGAUACUUAAAGCAUCCAUACAAACACUUGGCACAACAAAAUCAUUUGGAAAUAAACAAUUAACCAUAUAUUCACACAACAGUUCUUUUAGUACAACAACAGUGUAAGAGAUGUGCAUGUAUGGCAGAGAAAACAACUUACAACAAUCUAUGAACAAUUAACAAACUAGCUAUUAUAUUUUUCUCAACUUUACAAUCUAUCUACUGAAGCAAAGGCUUGAGCAACAGCUCCAUGGAAUGCACUUUAUUUAGAAAUGAAUUAACAAAGAGGCUCAAAUCUCGAUCAUCUGCGUAUGAACAACUGAUGCAGAGUUACAGACCAACAACGAACGACUGCAUAUUUUGGGGCUCGCCUGGACAUCAUAAUCGCGAUCUUGGUGAUCAUCGAUUGCCCAAAAGAGAGACACAGUACAUCAAUAGGUGAAUCACAAAGAAACAGAUCCAAAACAAACACAAAGGGUGUAUAAUGAAGUGUUAAAGACCAGCUGGUGCAGUUAAAUUCUCAUCUCCAGUAUGGUGGAAGAUAAUCAUCUUCAUACAAUCUUCUAGAGAUUUUGAUUUAAUCAGGUAGCACAAUUAUACACAGAUUCCAAAUAUUGUGUUGAUAAACCACUUCAAUGAUACAAAAAGAAAUAGGCCUCUGAUAAACCACUUCAAUGACACAAAAAGAAAUUGGCCUUGUUUGGCCUAGCGGUGCGACCCGGUUGAUUCGGAGCUGUCUCAAAUUCCCACCUUUUUGCAGUUGCGCGCAGUAAACGUGGCUCUAACAGCGCAGCCAAACAGGCGUGUAAUCCAGUACUAGAACGGUAAAGUAGGAGAUGUGAGAGGAGAUAAGAGUCUAAGAAAUCAGCGAGGUCUGUAUCAGAAGAUUAUUCUGCAUGGUACAUGGAAAACAGUAAAUCACAAAAAAUAGCAUGCUAACACACAUGCAACAGUUCAAACCCAACGGCGGCCAUUACCAUACCGACAAAAAUCAAUUAAGACAUCACCUAGUGAAUACUAGACAUGAGUUAGGUGCACUCGUGAACAAACUUCAAUUCAAAUACCAACACUAAAGCUUCAUGCACUUCAAUAAAUUCUAGAACUCAAACCACUCAUAACUCAGAAGGACCAAAUAUAAAACCAUCCUUGUUAGGAUGGUUGAUUAGCAUUCCAACCAAACGGCCUAGUCAAAAAGCCAACGGUUUUCACUAGAAACCACAGCUAUUUUAGAGCUUUAUGAUCACUUCAGUAAUAAUUGAAGCCCAUGCUCAACAAUAUAAAGAUCCACAUAAGAUUUACAAAUUUCUAUAUGAUUAUCAAUCUAAGUCACUGCUUGCUUAGAGACUAAGAAUAGGAACAGUUAUAAAUAGCCCUGCUAGCCCUCCGAACACUAUGGUGUCAUAUAAUUACUAUCUCCACUUGGAAUUGAGGGGGGGAAGAUAUCCCCCUAGCAAGUUCAUCUCCAGGGAUACAAUUUCAUGAGGUGUGGUGGAAUUGCGCUAUCUCAAUAGCUAAUCCUUUAUCCCAACUAGUUCGCAAUAUCCCUAGCUAAACAGAAUGGGGAUAACAAUAUAACUCAAAUCCUCAUUCGAGAUACUCUUCACUUUCCUAGAGGUAAAGUUCCCCAUGCCAAACACUACCUAACACUGCCCUCUGAUAUUGCCAUUCCAUUACAGAUGAAAAAUAAAAUCAGGCUAGGAAGAAGCUUGUACGAUACCUCAAGCAGUUAGGCUGCUCACUGAUUAGAUGUUAUCAACAUUAUUGAUUGCUCUUUAAACUAAUGCAACAGGGAAAUACCGACAAAAGAGUUCAUCACGUACAAAGAUUGUAGAUAGAAGAUGUCAAAGGUAACCUUUCAUGCUCUGAUGCGAGGGAUAUGUUAAGACUUUUAUGUUCUUACAAAAAUGUGGAUAUUAUAUCUGCAUUCUCAGUAUGCGAAAACAUGUUUUGAAAAAUAAAGUCUCUUUCUUCCACAUUAGUUCUACUUCUCUAAAAUAUUGCACACUUGAUUUCUUCCACUAGACUUACGUCAAACAUUCCAAUCUAAAUGCAAAUUAUAUCUGCAUUCUCACUAUGUGAAAACAUGUUUUGAAAAAGAAAAUCUCUUUCUUCCACAUUAGUUCUACUUCUCUACAAAUAUUGCAUACUUGAUUUCUCCCACUAGAUUUACGUCAAGCAUUCCAAUCUAAAUGCAAAAGCACUCCGAUAUAGCGAAUACCUCAUAAGAGUUAGUUGCCUUCAACUUUCUAGAAUUGUCCUUAAUUCAUGUUCCAUGUCUAUUUUGUCCUUCCUAAUUGUAUCUCCGUUGUUCUGUAUACAACUAAAGGUGAAUAUAUGAUGGCAAAAAGUGGCUUCGAGUAUACAAACUUCUUCAGUAGAAGCAAGGUCUAGUAGUCCAUAUGGUUCAUAUACAAACAUAUACUAACAAUUUUGACACCAUAAGAGAAAAUAGAGAAGUUCUUACUAUGUUAAGUAUAUAAUUUACAAUUAAAAGAACUUAAUUCCAUAAAAAAUUGUCUACCACUCACUACAUUAUGGUUAAAGAUGAAAUUACUCUUCACUCUUUGAACGAGAAAUUACAAGAAUUCACCGCACUAAGAUCAUUACCCGACAGGAACAUUUCAACAUACCUCAAUCCUAUUAUAAAAUUUGUCCAUCAGGGGAGGUUAGCAAUAUCACCAGUCUCAAUACACUCUGACAACUGUGGUACAAGUCCAUAUUGGGAAAAGCCCGUCUACAAGGAUUUAAGAGACUGAGCUAAUUCAUGUGGGUUCUCCAUGGCCUCCUUCAGGAUCAUCCCUGCUCUCCGCUUCUUGUCAUCCUUCUCAUCAUCCUUCAAAAACCAUGAAUCCCUUUUAGCAUCCAAAGCACCCAAAGACAGUGGCACCACCAAAGAUUUCCUAUCAACCCCUAUCUUGAAAUGCACUGUAGGCCUAUUGGUCGGUAGAGCCCUUUUCUCGUCAACUCCGCCAUCAACUCUCCCACUCUGCACUGCUUCAAUAGCAGGUGCAAAAGUCUCCAUCACCGACAACCUCUUAUUAGUAGGAGCUUCACUAGGAAUAGCAAUCUCCGACACUUCCUUCUCCCCAGAUGGCACGGGCGGGGCAAGAAAUGGAUUGUUUCCAACCACCUGUUUCCCCUUAUCCAUUUCAGCAUCACCAACAGGGGUAAACCCUGCAGAACCACUGAAAGCCAGCCUCUUAUGUAAGCUUAACAAAGACCUCUCCGCCUUCCUCCUCUGCCUCACUUGCUCAACCUUAUCCGCUUGCGGGUCAGCUGUCCUUUCAUUCCAUACGGCUGUGUGGACAUAAGUAUGUGGGUCAGGGAAUUCCGGAAGCCACUCUGGUAUGUUUUGCUCCUUCGGUUCCUUCCCAACAUUAGCAAAACUAGGUAUCAGUUUUGGCUUCGGAACAAUAGGAAAUUUUGGUACAGGCCGGGCAAAUGGGAUUUCCUCCUUUGUAUUAACAAAGCUAGCGAGAUCUCGUACGACACCAGAACUCAUCAAGCAAUGGUGAACAUCCGAAGCACCGGAAAACCCCUGCGACAAAUUGAGAUCCUCCAGACCUUGAAUGACAUCAGACACAUCGCAAUCCGUCCUUCCCGAUAGAUUAGCAUGAAAGGUCGCAGCUUCCCCUAAAUUACGAAUGUACCUGAUAGCAACAUCAGCUAGGGCAUCUAGAGCUGAAGCAUGGGAGCUGUGGAACCCAAUCGACUCCAAGAUUUGGACGAUGGCGAUCUUGGAGAUUGAACGGCCGAACUCAUCGCUAACAAAAGGCUUGGUCUUGUUCAAAUUAUUUUGGUUGUCCUUGCCGCUCUCCCGACCUCCAUCGCUCAUAUUCAACUAAAAUCAUAUCAUCGGUGCGCCCAAAUUCAACUCUUCACCACCUUCAACCACAACCCCCUCAUCAGAGGCUUCAGAAAGGGUUACCCCAACGACUCCACCGUUCCGGAUUGAGAUCGAUCUGAAGAAGCGGUUUGCACAGUACUCGUUUUUCCAAACCCUAGAUAGCAAUAGCAUUACAAACGGGGGCUCAAAGAAGCUCGGCUACUCACCGUUGAGCUCUCGGCGAAGAAAUGGAACCCACCAUGGAUCUCCGCAGCUGCAGCUCCGAGAUCGCGCGGAUCAAAGAGAGUUAUCGAUCAAUUGAACCCUAGAAGAGCAAAAAAUAAUAAUAAUAAUAAACUAGGGUUUGUGGCAAAUAGAAUAGGAGAAGAAAGAAUCUAGGGUUUGCUCGACCGUUAGGGUUUUGAAUUGGGGGGAAUCUAAAAAAAAUCAAAACCCUAAUUAGAGCUAGAGAGAGAGAGAGAGAGAGAGAGAGAGAAGGGAUCGAGUUGAAAAUGGGGAGGGAGGAUGGUGAUAUUUAUAGAGGCGGAGAGGGUUUCGGGGGACGAGUGUUCGCGAUCCACGAGGUGGAGGCGCAACGUAGCUUAUCCGGCCUCGCACACGUGGCGAUUAGCCGUUGGUGGAAUGGCGAAUACAUAGAUUUGACCUGGAAUAGGGGCUUCGCCCACCACGUCACCCGUGAACCGCGCUGCGUCUAAACUGAUGAGUGCGGUCCACGGAUGACGUGGUGAACCGGAUCCAGUGGAUGUACUGUCAUGUUUGAGGUGGAUGGGGAUUGUUUCGGGUCCACAGUUCGGAAGAGCGCGGCGUGCACGGCACGCAUGCUUGGUGGACCCGGUGCACCAAUGGGACAAAGCCCUCUCUAUCAAUGGACGCAAAUGGGCCGACCCAUUUAUGGAGUUCGCAAUACAUGGGCCGUAUUCUUGGGCCGGCCUUGUAAAAAUCAUCAUAGAACUUCUGAACCAGUGCUAUUUGAGCUUUUUUAGAAAGCGCUUUUGAUUUGAUCAUCGUUUGACUUACCUGUACAGUGUACAGUGCAGUGUUGUUUAUUGAACUGUCGUCGGUAUCAAGCUAUUACGAUAAGCUCUACGUUAAUAUAUCUCCAACAAUUUCUUUCUAAAAUUAAUGUAUCAAACUUCUGUUUUUGAGAUUCAAAAUUAUCAUUUUUAUUUUUUGCUAUGAUAAAAUUUUGGAUUUUUAUUCUUACUAUACGGCACACACUCUGCCGGAGAGGAUAGCUAUGAAAAAUAGAAACAGAAGCAGAACCAAACAAGCUUUUUGAUUUUAAUCGGCUUUGGCAGUUCAAGUACAUGGUACAGAAUCAAAUAUGAAGUCGGCACUUCGCCCACUUAUUCCACCGUAUUCACGUCAGAUUCGGCAUUUUCUAUGCUUGCGCGGCCGAAUCAACCAAAACUCGCGCAAGUGCAAGUCCCCUAGAGUCUGCAAUUUCGAGCCUCUCGCCACCGAGUUCGUAUUGAACUCGAACUCGGCGUCUUCACAGAUGUGGCCACCGGCUUCAAGUUAAAAUCAGCUACUUCGAGAAUUUUGCCCCUUAAAAUCAGCCUUUCUAAACAGCUUUUGUUCCGGAUAGAUAAAAACUUACAAAAUUUACCUAAAUUAUAGAUCAUUUUUAAUAAGCUACUUAAGCUUUCAAAAUUUUGAUUUUACUACCCAAUCUAUCCAUUUGUUUGAUUUGAGCCAAUCAACAGUGCUUUAACUAUAAAAUUUGAAAGCAUUUGUUUAUAUUUACAGAUUUAGUUAGUAUAUUUCAUACAAUUUUUACAAUUAUAAAUUUUUUAAAAAUAAUUAUUUUAAAUUUUGAAGUAAAAGUGUAUGUAGGGCUGGCAAAUGAGCGAGCCGGCUCGCAUUCGACUCGCGUUCGACUCGAUAUUUGGCUCGCUCAAGCUCGAUUCGAAAUUAAAUGAGCCGAGCUUGAACCAAAAAAAUGGCUCGAAAUUCAUUUCAAGCCGAGCUUGAGUUUUACUUGGCUCGUUCGAAUUAGGCUCGAAAAGCUCGAAUAUAUAUAUAGUAGAACUACUAUGCUAUCGAAAGUAUAGAAGAUCUGGUGCUUUCGAUUUUUUGAUUCUUAGAUCAACCCCUUUAAUCAUUUCUUAUCUUUGGAUUAAUACUAUUAUUACCUUGUAUGGACCACUCAAUCCUAGGGNCUCAAAUCAAACAAGUUGCUAGGUUGGAUAGUAAAUUUAAUCAAGAUUUUGAAAGAUUGGAUAGCCGAUUCAAAAUAAUUUAUAAUUCAGACAAGUUUUGUACAUUUUUACCUUCUAGAUUUUAUUUGCUUCUUUAUUUAAUUUAAA